rnacentral:ncRNA from 1 species
UUGACUGCACGCCCAGCUCUCCAUAUUUCUUAGCUGUGCGUAGCUUUAACAAGGAGGAAAUGUGAAUCCCCAGGCUCGGGGUGCGGCAGUGUGGAGACCUGUCGUAACGCGGCGCGCUCCCCCGCGGGCGGCCGUGAGGACAAACGGGCGGAGGCCCCUUGUCCGGAGCCGGCAGUAUGGCA